UACGUAGGGUGCGAGCGUUAAUCGGAUUUACUGGGCGUAAAGCGUGCGCAGGUGGCCCGUUAAGACAGGUGUGAAAUCCCUGGGCUCAACCUAGGAAUUGCGCUUGUGACUGGCGGGCUCGAGUACGGUAGAGGGGGGUGGAAUUCCUGGUGUAGCAGUGAAAUGCGUAGAGAUCAGGAGGAACACCGAUGGCGAAGGCAGCCCCCUGGGCCUGUACUGACGCUCAUGCACGAAAGCGUGGGGAGCAAACAGG
rnacentral:rRNA from 1 species